rnacentral:rRNA from 1 species
UACGGGAGGCAGCAGUAGGGAAUAUUGCACAAUGGGGGAAACCCUGAUGCAGCGACGCCGCGUGAGUGAAGAAGUAUUUCGGUACGUAAAGCUCUAUCAGCAGGGAAGAUAAUGACGGUACCUGACUAAGAAGCCCCGGCUAACUACGUGCCAGCAGCCGCGGUAAU